rnacentral:rRNA from 1 species
CGUAGGGUGCGAGCGUUAAUCGGAAUUACUGGGCGUAAAGCGUGCGCAGGCGGUAAGUUAAGUCCGAUGUGAAAGCCCCGGGCUCAACCUGGGAAUGGCAUUGGAAACUGGCUUGCUGGAGUGUGGCAGAGGGGGGUGGAAUUCCGCGUGUAGCAGUGAAAUGCGUAGAGAUGCGGAGGAACACCGAUGGCGAAGGCAGCCCCCUGGGCCAACACUGACGCUCAGGCACGAAAGCGUGGGGAGCAAACAGG